GACAGAGGUGGCGACCGUUGUUCGGAAUCACUGGGCAUAAAGCGCGUGUAGGCGGCAUCGUAAGUCGGGUGUGAAAUCCCUCGGCCCACCGAGGAAUUGCGCCCGAAACUACCUUAGCUUGAGGACCAGAGGGGAGCCUGGGAAUUCCUGGUGGAGCGGUGAAAUGCGUUGAUAUCAGGAGGAACACCGGCGGCGAAGGCGAGGCUCUGGCUGGUUACUGACGCUGAGACGCG
rnacentral:rRNA from 1 species